UACAGAGGUCUCAAGCGUUGUUCGGAUUCAUUGGGCGUAAAGGGUGCGUAGGCGGCGCGGUAAGUCGGAUGUGAAAUCUCGGAGCUUAACUCCGAAACUGCAUUCGAUACUGCCGUGCUUGAGGACUGGAGAGGAGACUGGAAUUUACGGUGUAGCGGUGAAAUGCGUAGAUAUCGUAAGGAAGACCAGUGGCGAAGGCGGGUCUCUGGACAGGUACUGACACUCAACUACGAAAGCGUGGGGAGCAAACAGG
rnacentral:rRNA from 1 species